AGCAGCCGCGGUAAUUCCAGCUCCAAUAGCGUAUAUUAAAGUUGUUGCAGUUAAAAAGCUCGUAGUUGAAUUUCGGGAUUGACACAUCGGUCGUGCCUUAAGGGGUGUGAACUGGUGUAGUCAAUUUCUCACCUUCUGGAGAACCGCGAUGUCCUUAAUUGGGUGCUGCGAGGAACCAGGACCUUUACUUUGAAAAAUUAGAGUGUUUAAAGCAGGCAUUUUUGCUUGAAUACAUUAGCAUGGAAUAAUAAAAUAGGACGGCAUGAUUCUAUUUUGUUGGUUUCUAGGAUCACCGUAAUGAUUAAUAGGGAUAGUUGGGGGCAUUAGUAUUCAAUUGUCAGAGGUGAAAUUCUUGGAUUUAUUGAAGACUAACUACUGCGAAAGCAUUUGCCAAGGAUGUUUUCAUUAAUCAAGAACGAAAGUUAGGGGAUCGAAGACGAUCAGAUACCG
rnacentral:rRNA from 1 species